GACAGAACUGUUUCGGUUGUUGUUUUGUUAUUCAGUGUUCAGUUUUCAUUAAAUAAAAUGAACAUGUACCACGCUAUGCAUUGGUCCUCACCUUCUUCCCACGACAGCCGUUACAACAACGGACAGGGAGACUACGCCAGCGUUAAAUUCUAUCACUCCAAAAACCAGGAAGUGCCUCUGAACUUCAUCGUCCUGUUCCUGGGGUUGAGGCAUUUGGAUGUGGAUGUCCAGUACGCUGCUGUGAAAUUCAGCCACCCCAGUGCUGCCACCCGGCCCGUGGUUGAACCCCCUGUUCUCAAAAGCACAGUCAACAAAUCCAGAACCAAGAAGACCUGAACACAACAAACCAAGAAGACCGGAACACAACAAUUGAAGGAGUGGAAGAAGCACCUUCUGCUCCCCCCUCCAGCCUCCUUGGGGGUCUUGGAGCAUCCCUCAGCAGCAGGGAGAACUCAGCCCCCUGGAGUUCGAUAAGGUCUGGAAUUUCCUAGACGAGUAGAGGCAUGGAGACUGUAGUCUGCAGUAAUGUUGAGAUGCCAGUAGGGAGCGCUCUAGACCACUGGAGCCAAACAUACUACAGUCUACUUUCAGUUGCACAUUGAUGCAGCUGAUGAGUGAUGGGAAUGAUGGGUCUUAUAAUAAAUGUAGAUCCACUUCUCAAAGAAAGAAAUGCAAAUUGACUUUUGUCCAUUUUCUAUUUAGAAACAGUAACAUCGCUUUAGUGACAUGCUGUUCACACAUGUUAACCUGACUAGUCUAAUUUUAAAAUGUAUCAACCACAGAACUCACACUUAGGUUACGCCUGCUUCUACUAAUACUUACAGUAGACUACUUGUUUCCACACAGCGACAGUAAGUUGACUCACUGUACAAGACCUCUCCCCUUCACUUCACUCUAAGUACUCUUGACAAUAUUUUGAAAUAUAGUUUGUCAUGUUUUUCUUGUAAUAUAUCAUAUAUUGAGGGUAAGACUUCCCGUAUCGUUUAAUUUGUGAUGUUUUGAGCUGUGUUUUGGUUGUUACACUUUAUGAAUACUGGCCCUGAUGUAUCAGAAUAGGAGUGCUGAUCUAGGAUCAGGUUCACCUCAUCCAAACAAUUAUGAUCUAAAAGGCAAAACUGAUCCUAGAACAGCACUCCUACUCUGAUACACUUUCUGAAUACCGGCCCUGGACUAUGUUGAUGUGUUAAGUUUAGUUCAGUUUAUUCAUGUGCAUGUUUUUGUGUAUAUGUGGGUUGUGUUUAGGAGUAGUAUUAACAUGAGACACAGUGAUGGUGGGUUGUGUAGGAGUAGUAUUAACAUGAGACACAUUAGACAAUGCAGAAUAUCGUCCUCUGUAACUGAGUUGGUAGAGCACGGCGCCUGCAACAACACUGGAACCUUCAGUAGCAGCUGAUGAGGAGUGAUGGGAUUUAGUAACAUUUUGACUCUAAAAAUGUAUGGCCCACUUCUCAAAGGCAACUAUUUUCUGACAUGUUAUUUGUGCAUGUUAAUGUCUUAACGCCUUGACUGGGCUACUUUUAAAAUGUGUCAACCACAGAAUUCACACUUACAGUAGGCUACUUCUUGUUUCUAUGUACUGCCAGCAUCACCUUCCUGUCAUCUGUAGACCUCUACAGCCUGAACCAUAGUGUUCUUUAUAUGGACAUUAUACUGUAUGUACUUAAUUAGCACUUUAUAUUCACAUAAUAGUAUAUGAACAACAUGCUACAUUAGACUGUGACUCGUUUCAGGAAACUAGACCUGGGUCACUACU